CUGACCAAUUCAGUAGAUUUUUCACAGUUUUGCAGUAAAAAACUACGGAUUUUAAAAAGGCAAAAUGUUGUGACUGCUAAGCAGUUAAAUUUCACUGUUUCAAAUUUAGAGAGUACACCGAUCUCAAAUGGUAAUUGGGAUUUUUUCAACAACGUAAGCGAGUUUGCUUUUAAUGAACAAUUUAUUAAACUAUUAAAAUUAUUAGGUACACCACAAACGCGUAGGUGAAUUAUUCUACAUAAUGCCGCUCAUCCCGUAUCCAGAUUUCGUUUCAUUUGUUUUAAUUUAGGUAUGUAUUACUUUUAUUAGAUUCUAAUUUUAUUUUCAUUUUUUACUUUAACAGGAUUCCAAAAAGGGAUGCAAGAUCACGUUCUGCUUGAACGUGUUGUUUUUUCUGUUUCUGUACUUCAGGUACAUAUGAAUCCUACCAAUUGGCAGAUUCAAAUUUGAAACUGAAUGAAUUGCAGGCCAAUAAUGGGCGGAUACCCUGCUUCAAGGGAGUAAUUAUGUGUGUUUCGCAGACUAUUGGAAAUACGCCAACGAACAUAGCUAUUGCAGAUGAAACAGAUAGGUUAGAUGGAGGAUAUGCUGCAAGAAAUUUCAAAUAUAAAGUAAAUGGAUACGAAUUGUAAACGUUUUGAAAAGCCUUACAACACUGCCAUGUGCAUUAAACGAACGAUUAGCAACAAAAAUAAAAAAGUCUGCAUCUCGCGUCAAGUGACGCGCUCGAAGACGACGUCAACUUAUGUAUAUCAUAUUUAUCGGUACACGGAGAUCCUACGUCGACGUGCUGGCGUUCGGAAUACUACGAAUUCGAAAGUUGUGAUAUUUCUGACAAAGGUGCUUAAUUUUAAUUAGGUAUUUUUCAUUCCACAGGUUUGCGUAGACACAGCUCAGAUUCUAUCAUGUUGAGGCUGUGUCGACGUUGACACAGCCGAGAGUGUAUUCACGGCGGACUAGAUAGGCAAUUUUAUCAACAUGAACGCCUACUGGUAGUUCAAACACAUGACUGCCUAAUCCAGCUUCGACAUUCGUGAAUCAUAAAUCGUGUCAAUGUUGACACAGCCUCGACAUUCAUAAAUCGUUAUUAUGUCUACGUCGACGCGGUCUCAAUUUUUCUUCUGUGAAAAAAAAUUUUAAAUGAAUUUUUUAGCAAAUUAUUUUAUUAAAUGAAUUCGACAGCGACUUAUCAACUGUAUUAUGUAUACAGACAGCGUUAUACAAAAUUAGUCUGGCUAACAAAAUUUAAAUAUCUACGAUUGAGAAAAUAUUUUGAAGAACAAAGUGAAAAUCCACCGGAAUACAUGGAAGUGGAAUGAGUACGAACCAUUUAUCUAAGCGAUAUGAAGAAUACUUGACGUAAAUUUAGUAUUUAGCCCACUAGUGGCAGUAAGUCUUUCGUUCCUCUUCCCUUCAUUUCAUUUUUUCUUUCGUAUUAUUUUUUCUGUUUUGUUUUGUACAUUACUAUAAAAUAUGCUAAAAUUGACUUCUUGAAGUCUCAUUUCCUGAAAAAAUACGAAUUUUAGACAACAUUUUCGGAUAAUUAAAAAUUAAUAAAAUCAAUAAGAGGCCACCA